rfam:Gossypium raimondii Chr05_contig_518, whole genome shotgun sequence.
AUUUCGUGAUGAGGGCACUUCCGUAAUAAUUCUUUACCUUUCCUAUGCCCCAUACAAUGACUCAUCAUCCAUUUGUUGGAAAUCAGUGAUCUCAUUCCUCAACUU